rnacentral:lncRNA from 1 species
CCCUAUUGUUAACUAAAUUUUAAGAAGUGGUACUACCUGUGAUACAAGUUGGUCAGCCAUGGCCAAGAGAAACUUAAUUUAGUGCACAAGAAUUGGCUGCUGUGUAAUUUAUCACCAAAUAUGAAGCAUUAACUUUUUCCCGCAACAAAAAUGUACUAGCGUGAGAUAGGUAUACAUGAAAAAUACAUCCUCUAUUUUCGCAUUAGGAAUGGACUUUGGUGUUUAUAUAUGCGCACGAAUAUUAUUUUUGUUAACACUGAGCCUCCUUUUGAACACUCACAAGAAUUAUUAUAACAAGUUGUUCAGUCACUAUCAACAAAAGGAAAAAUGGAUAUCAUUUAUCCAGCCAUUCUGCUUCUCCGCGUUGCUAUUAUCAAAGUUGUUCGUACCUUUUGUACGGUAGGCUGGAGAGCUUCGCUUAAAAUAAAGUGGAAAGGAAAAAAAACACACUUUAGAGAUGCCAACCACUAUAGUUAUAGUGAUUAACAACCCUUCCUAAAAGGGAUGGUUCCUAGCUUAAUUGACUACAAGAUGCUACUACAUGCAGUUAGCAGGCUGUUUCCUAGCUUCAUUAUUGGACAAAUUAAAGUAUUCCGGAUGUUCUUGCGGGUAAUAUUCCAUGAAGUGCUGCGAGUCCACCAGAGGCCCUGCAGCCUGGUAAGUCUUGAAUGGCACAUGAGGAGGCGCCGGCGGCAGAAGAGUUUGAUGCCAAGUUUGGUGCUGCGACGACGGUGGUGGCGGAUAGUAUGUCUCGGUGGAUGGCGCAUGGUGAGGAGGAUUUGUCUGAGGUGGUGGACGGGCAUGUACCGUAGCUUGAGGCACCGGCGCUGCAGCAGGAGGUGGAGCCGGCGGUCGAAGUGGAAGCUCCGGAGGCUGCUGUCCAGAACUAGGUUUGAGGUGAUCAGGUAUUGUUAUAACCUGCGGUGGCGUUGGCGUUGGCGUUGGCGUCGGCGUUGGCGUCGGCGUUGGCUGUGGUGCCGGCUGGUAUUGUUUCUCGGAGUCUUGUUCAGGGUCCUUAUUGGAGCCGCCACAGCAGAACCAGAUGCUGCAGGAGAUGUUGCUGCAGGAAAACGUGAAACUUGGGCAUGCAGAUGACAUUCUAUAUUUGUUGAGCGAUCAAGCUAUAUAAAAAGAGGUCUUGUUACAGGCGUUCUUGGCAGCACACAGGCUUGCUGCUUUGAUGAUGGGGUUCUGUAGGGUACUACGUAUAUAUAAGAUCUAAGCCUUUCGGUGUGAAAGGAUUAGCUUCCAUUGUGUGAUAGGCAUGAAUUUACAUUGACUUGACCUGUCAGAUGUGCGGUCCGUGUCUUUAGUUAGGACCAGAUUCGAUCUACAAUCCUGAUGUGGCCUCACCAAACAAUAAUGCAACUGUCCAAUCCAGGGAAAGAUUUAACAUGAUUAUAGAAAUACCAGAGUUAACCGAAAUUACUAUGAUUGGAUACAUACAUAUAUAUGGUUUGUAUCAUAUCAAGCUAUUACAUAAUUUACAGAAUUUUGUUGCAAGUAAGGUAUAGAAAACAUUUGCAAUUUGUCGCACUGAAUAUUAGUGUCUACAGGUUUUUGCUUUCAGUAAGCUCAGAUUCGGAAAGAAUAUAAGUACCCAAGUGAAGGUAGCACCUCAUCUGCUACGUUGCUAUCAGGUGACUAAAGGAUAUCAACAAUGCUAUUCUUUUUGUCAUAUUUGUGAAGCCUUAUGUUGUAAGACAACCCAAUAUAAUGGAAGAUGAACAUGAACAGAAGGUACAAGUUCUAAUGUGCCGGGCCCUACCAAAAAUAUUCACCCCUGGGCCUGGCAGAUCGAAUGUGAUUCUAAAGUUGUGGAUGUAGAUCUUCCUCGACUGAGACACAUAAAGAGGUUCAUACAUGGUUCAUAGUGAUCAGUGACCACAUACAGAUAUCUCUUGGAAGAUAUUAGUGAUCCUAGCCCGUUAAAAAUACUAAUAGGUUCUGGGUUGUUAUAUUUCUUAAUUCUUUGUUAUGAAAUAUAUAGUUGUAUAGUCACGUUUUCAAGUAGAUAUUGUAACAAAGAAGUCAAGAUGGAUAUAUAAGCCCUUUAGAACUCAAAGGUUGGAAGAUGCUCGUGUAAUUCAAGUUAGCUUCCUGAAAGUGUUAAGAGGGACCAAUUAUUACCUACAUGCCGGCCUACACAGGGGCACCUUCCUGGAGUUUGUUGACUAGAAAGAACAAUUACAUAAGGGCACCUUGGUUAUAUUUAUAUCCGCUUUGGUAUAUGCAAACAGAUGCUGCCGAAGGUAAUCUGAAAGUUAGGAAUAUAUGUUCCAUGAGGUGCAUCCUCGAAGUUUUAGGGUGGUAGUAUAUGUGAACUCUACUUUUCAUCUUGGUUUUUAUGGGAUGAUGGAUAAAAAAAUAUUAUCUAAGUUACGUGAUUUUUAUUCUGUCAGAGCCAAAGGCCUGCAGACCAUACACAUUGUUGUACAAUCUUAUUAAUUAUUAUAGGUUUUGUUUUUGUCAUUGACUCAAGCCGACUCUUGCCACCAUACAGCAUCUGGACAGUCGUUAUAAAUCUACGAUGUUUCUAACUGACUAGUUACAUCUAUGAAUUAACUCUUCUAAUCCCUUAACAGUUUUUUUGGUGGAGUGCAAUGCAUCUUUUGUUCUUUGUAUAUCAACUGUACGUUGAAGAAUAGUGCAUCUUUUGUUCCUUAUAGAGUUUACGCGUUGAUACGGUUUUUCAGCUAUAUGCUAUAAUUAUAACAGUAGAUUUCAAGUAGUUUGCAUAUAUUGGAUAUUUGAAUACAAAUGUAUAGUUUAGCACUGAGCGAACCUCACAAUUUACCGAAGGAAGAAUGAAAAGGGUGUUGGAUUACGAAGUGUUCUAAAAAUUUUCUUAAAAUUAACCUAAAUCGGUCAAAAGACUUCAAACAUAUACUAUAACUCCAUAGUCCAUGUCCAAACAAUAACACCGACAAGCUUCAGAAUUCCAACCGAAUGGCCUUUAAGGAACCAGUUGGACUACUUCUAAGAGAUAACAAUCUUGAAACCUCAUCGAUCGAAUUGAACCAGAAAUCGCAAAAUCUGUGAAAGAACUAAUACACACUCUUUACUGGUAAAAUGGACAUGUUAUUAUAAAUAACUGUUACAAAAACUUCCAGCAUCUAUGAUAAUAGGUAACCAUCACAAGAAUGAUUCAGAUUUAUCAUAAAAGCAUAAUACUGACCUUUUUCCUAUGUGGUGUUUCAACACUUAGAAUCCGCGUCACUGUGCAUUCUCUGUUACAGCUGUUACUCCAUCAUCAUCAUGAAAUGUAUUUUAUGACAAUUAUAAGAUCUUCACCAAAUAUGUUACAUUCUGUGAUGACAACUUUCAUCAUCCAACAUGGACUGGAAUCUUACUAAUCCCUUUACAAGCAUGUCUAAUCUAUGGCAAAACUAAUUGCGUCGUCAUACAAAAUAUGUUUGUUGUGACAAAAAAAUGGAAGUUCAUCCGAACAUUAAAGGAUGAUAAACUAUUAAAAAUAAUAAUAGGUAGAAUCCAUCGUAACCAUACCAUAUGCAUAUCGCUUUAAUUUUCACACAACCAUUCACAUUCCAAUUAUUUAGUGCUCUCAAGAAAAUAAAGGACAUCAUAGGCCAAGGGGACAACAAUAAUAACACAUUAAGAAUGACUAUAUCUUGUAUUUCAUGUAGUCAUCAUACUUCAAAAACUUCUUAAGUAUGCACCAUAUUUCCACUAGAAAGAUGAUUGAGAGAUGCAAAACAAGUUUCUUGCUUCUACUUAACAAUGGCAAUUUGUUCUUCAAAUCCAUGAUUUUUAGUAGUGGUAUGCAACUCUUGUUGAUAUCUUCUAGUAGUCUUUAUUUGUUUGUAAGGUUUGUUCUUGAACAAUUUCUUUAAGCUCUCAUAUGUGCAUCGGAAGUGUUAGGGGCAGUUUAGCUCGAAUUGGUUGAAGUUUUUUUUGAAUGGAACAGGAGGGGUGACCACUACUGACUAUAUAUUAAAAUGAAAGGGUACAAAGGUAACAGCAAAAGUCUAAAGAAGAAAAAAGAAGAACAAGCUAAGAUAUUACAGGGUAUGCAGCCAGACGUUCAUAGAAGGUACUAAGCCGGGGCACGCUCUAUGAAGUAACAAGGAAAAUUCAGAGUUGAAUUUCCUUUUGCACAUUUCCACUAAUGGAUCUAUUCCAUUGAACAUCCAGUCAUUCCUAGUAGUCCAGAUGCUCCAUGACAUAAGAAUUAUGACUUCCAUGAAGAAAAGAAACUGCAAGCUUGUUCUUGAUUUGUCUGAAGAUCCGAAGGAUUAGUCUGGUGGUGGUAACUGAAACUCCAAUUGAGUUCCAGCAUGCUUUGGCAAAGUUACAUCAUAGGAAUAGAUGUGUCACAUUUUCCAUCUUUUGCCGGAUGCAUAGUUCGCAAGUGUAGGAAUCAAGAUCCAUUUGUUUCCUUCUCAAUAUAUCUCUUGUACUAAGAUGAUGUUUGAGCAAUAACCAGAACAAGACCUUGUGUUUCAUCGGACCUUGUGUUAUGGAGGCAGCAAAGGUGCUGAGAAGGUCUUUGAGGAAUAAGAGUUGGUUUGGGCAUGCCUCCAUAACAAGUAGGGUGUCAUCUGCAUACUGAAUAAUUGAAAAAUCCGUCCCUGCUCUUUCUGGAAUUGGUAGUUUAAGAGAUCCUUGGUCUUUGACUUUGUUGAUUAUUGAUUGUAGUAGGUCUGUUGGCAGAACAAAAAGAAGGGGUGAGAGGGGAUCACCUUGUCUUACUCCUCUUCUGCAGUGGAAGACUUUCCCUGGAACUCCAUUCAGAAGAAUUGAAGAUGUGCCUGAUCCUAGUAAGUAUUUGAUCCAUUUAAUCCAUCUAUCCCCGAAGCCUUUAUGUUUUAGAAUUUGUAGAAUGGCUUGAUGUUCAAACUUGUCAAACGCUUUUUCAAAGUCUAGUUUCAGGAUCACCAACUCUCUUUUAGAGGCCUUGCAGAUAUGUAGGUAUUCAAGAGCCCAGGCCAGACAGUCGUGUAUAGAUCUUGAUUUAAUGAAACCAUAUUGAUUUUUGUUUAUCAAUCUUAGGAUCACUUGUUGUAGUCUGUCUGCAAGUAACUUGGUGAGAAGCUUAAUUGUGGAGUUCAGGAGGGAAAUUGGUCUAAAAUCUCCAACCAAGGAUCGACAAUCCUUCUUGGGGACUAGGGUAACGUAUGAGGCAUUAAUGCUUUUGAGACAUGUAGUCCCUUCAAAGAAAUCCUCAUAGAGUUUGUAAAAAUCUUGAGAAAUUAGGUUCCAGCACUUUUUUAGGAACUCUCCAUUGAAGCCAUCAGGUCCUAGGGACUUGUUGUUAAGGAGCUCUAUAAUUAUCCUAUCAAUUUCUUCUCUGGUAAAUGGACUUUCUAGCCAGUCCAUAUUACUGUCAGCCUGGAGUAGAGAGCUAAGGUCAAAGUACAUGUGUGUGAAUUCUGAAAUUCCCAUUCUUUCUUUAUAAGAAUUCCAGAGCAUAGCUGCCUUGGCUUCAUGGUCAAACACCUCUCUUCCAGACUCAUCAGUCAAGGAGGUAAUGGUGUUCUUCCUGUGCCUGAUGGAUGCGUUGGCGUGGAAGAACUAGGUGCAUUCAUAUCCAAACUUGACCCAUUUGAUUGUUCCUCUUUGCUUCCAAUAGGUCUUUUGCUAGUGGAGGAGGUUCUGCAAGUGGUUUGUAAUUAUGUGCCCGAAGUUCCAUUCUUCCAAGCUUAAAUCUCUUGUUUCUUCCGUAAUGUCCAAGAGCUAGAUCAAGUCUUUGCAAUUUCUGAUGGCAGCUGCUAAAUUUGGUAACUGAGCUUUCCAAGCAUUUAACACUCUCCUUAGGUUCUUACAUUUUGCACUUAUCCUCUUAGCAUUGUCAGUUUGAGAGUUGGGCACAUUGCAUCCAUGCUGUAGAACUGGCUCAAAGUUCUCAUGUUCCAACCAGUAGUUUUCAAAUCUGAAAAUCCUAGGCUUGGGAAUAUUUGUGCCUACUGUGAUGGUACAUGGAGUAUGAUCAGAGGUGUCUCUGGAUAGUCCUGAGGCAAAGAAGUUUGGAAAGUUAGUUGUCCAAAUACUAGAGGUGAAGAACUAGUCUAAUCUUUCCAGUAAAGGAUUUUGUUGUUUGUUUGUCUAGGUAAAUUUGCAUCCUCUGAGGGGUAGAUCCACUAAUCUGAGACUACUAAUGGCUUCAUUAAAGGGAAGCAUUUCGUGAAGAUUCCCUCCUAGCUUGUUUCUAUCUUCAGGCUUCCUAAGAAGAUUAAAGUCUCCUACAAUAAGCCAUUUUUCAUCAUCGGGCAUGCUAAUUCUUUUGAACCAGUUCAUGAAUACGGUUUUGCCUUUUCGGUAGUACAAGGUGCAUAGAUAUUAGUUAGGAUCCAAUUUUCUUCAUUCAACUUGCAUGAGAAUUGUAUUGAUUAGGCAUAAUCAUUUUGAAAGUCCAAGUGGCCACUAAACUUGGAACUGUUCCAAAUGAUGAUACUCCCCCUGAGUUUCCCACUGAUGGCAAGAAUACAAAGUCUGCAGGACAAAUUUUUUUAUAUAUGUAGAAUCAAAGAAUUCCUUCUUAGUUUCUUGUAGAAACAUGAUAUCGCAUUUGGCUUCAUAAACCUUACUUUUAACCGCAUCCCAUUUCUCAUUGGAGUUAAUACCUCUAAUAUUCCACGGUAGAAUGACCCAAUUCCUUUUAUGUUGUCCCAGAUUCAUAGUUGCUCAUUGAGAAGCACAAUAGAUUGCAUGUGCAACAUGCAAAUAUCCAUAGUAUAUCCAAACUAGAAUAAUUAAACAUCCUAAUUAAGGUAAAGUUCAUCAGGAUCAACCACAAGUUCAUAAGGGGAAAUAAAGAAGUCCACAUCCCCACUACAUUACAGUUUAACAAAAGCUUGACCCUUCCCAUUCAGAUACAAGAUAAACUGGGAACGAAGAUAGCAAAGAGGAUCCUAAUACUUCUUGAUCUUCUUGCUUGAUUCCUAAUAUUCAAUCUCAUCAAUCUUCUCCUUGCCCUUCUCUCUCUUGGAGCUGAUCACCUUCCUCGAGGUCUUGUGGCUUCCAAUGGAUUGCUUGUUCCUGCCUUUGUUAGAUAAAAUGUCUUUAGACAGAGCUUUAAUAUUUAUCUUGAAGAAUUCAUCACCAAUCUUCUUAAUGUCUCUACUUGGUAUGGCUGGUAGGGUGGCAGCACAUGCUAAGCAGUUUCUAUUAACACAAGUAGUGUGUUUGAGCCCAUCACGACGGUUCGUGAUCCUGGGGCUCCUUCUAGCUUCCGUCUCCACUUGGGGGUGAGGUCCUUGGUAUUCACCUUGGCUGGACCAGGUAGAUGAUUGACCUUUCCCUCAGUGCUGCCAGUAGCUUCUGUAGAGGAAGAGCAUUGAACUUCUGCAUUUUCUGGGCAAGUAGCUGGUAAGGCAAAAAAUAUCAUGGACGUUAUAUUUGUGCAUGUGAGCAUGAACCUCCAUGCUUGAGAUGACAGAAACAUCUUAGCCCAUUCAAAAUAGGAGGGAGAAAGAGCAGCAUGACAGUGAAGAAAGCAGCCCAAUCUUUGGGAAUCUGAACCACCUGCUCAGGACAUCUUGCUGGGGAGAAGUGUCGAGCCCACAGCUUGUAUACAUCAGGGUUUGUUUUGCUGUGACCUUGAAUAUUAUUCAUCAUAUCAUUCCAUCAUGGAUCAACUAUUGUGUUGGGCAUUCUGAAUGUGAUAGCCAUGUUAAUGUUGAGGUUGAGGUUGAAGGAUGCCCCAUUACCAUUGUUAGCUUGCUGCUUGAUAGGUGGCAGGAAGUCUGGUAAGUAAUUAUGAUCAACUUCUAUAUUUUCUUCUUCCUGAUUUGCUCCCAUCAUAUUCUCUCCAUCACCAGCAAAUGGCUGAGUGCCAUAUCCUGAUUUUCUUCCACCAGGGCCUCAUUGUUAUUGGGAGCAACCUCUGCCAUCAAUAAUUCCUGGUUGAUUCCUUCUUCCAGUGGUUGCUCAUGUUGGGCGAAAUCAAGGCAGGGAGAGCUAGUACAAUUUGGGGAUUAUGAUUUUCUUGUCCAUUUGCCAUGUUGUUGACAAAGCCUGCUGCUUCCUCAUUGUUCUGAUGAUCUUGAUCAACACUAUCUUCAGAAAUCUUCCCUUGAUUAUAGCUUCCAUUUCCUGAGCUCGUGAUAGAUGGUUGUGGCACAGAGAGACUCAAUUGCAAGUCCAUUUCCUCCUGAUGCUGAUGAUGGGGGUCCUGAUUGUCCAUGUUCAACACUGGUUCUUACUCCUGUUGGAAGCCUAGCUGUGCUUGCACCUGAUCUUCCUCCAUUGGGUUGAUGUUCAGAUUAGGAAUUGCUACUGCAUUCUGGAGUUGUUGAACCUAAUCAACGUGCUCAUCCUGCUUUAGUUGGUUCUGCUCUUGCUGAUGCACAAACUGGUUAGCACCGAACCUAGGAAAAAUGAAGUUAUCAUCAAAACAAGGAGGAGGAAUGUCCUCAUCCUGAAACUGUCCCCCCCCCAACAUGUUCUAUUGGAUUAUCUUGCAUUGGACUAUGAUGGAGACUCCUUCAAAAUUGUCACCCUUAGAAAGGAUUACAUAGUAAGGGACAUCUUCCAAAUCUACAACUCUAGCUUUGACAAUGACUCUUGCCAAGAUGCUAUAUUUUUUGCCAACAAAUCAACCUUCCAAAGGAUUUGAUUGUAUCUCUAAUGUCUUCAAUGUUACGAGUAUCAAUAGGUUAUCCAAUCAACAUCAACCAGCAUUCUCUAUUAAAGACCACCCGUCUAGCAUUCGGUCCCCUAUUGUGGUUAACGAAAGAUAUCCUCAAUCCCUAAUGUUGGUGAGGACUAUGAUGAACCAAAGCAUCCCUGUUAGAGGCACGACUGAGACGGACAUACGCCUGGGCUCUAUGAAAUGGACACCUCUGAAUCCCGUGACUCUAAGCUCAUACUCUUCUUCUAUCAGACCCAAAAUGAUAGUCCAGACAUCAGCGAAUGGAAUCUCACCCAGAGGAAGGUUGGAGAUGGUGACGAUCGCUAUGUCCUCUUUGGCCGGUGCUGUGCUUGGGUUUACCACCCUGGUGAACUUCGGUCGUCCUUGUAUGAGCACUCUUGCAAACCCUGGAAGCAUCAUCAGCGCUGGGUCGACAUUCAGGAAUGCCAACUUCACCGAUUGGGUAGCCGCGUCACCGUCACCGUCUACAGUGGCACUGGGGUUUUCUUGAAACUGUGGAGUGGAGUCUGCGGAGGGGGCGAGGAAGCCGAAGAGGUGGUGACCCUCUGUAUUCCCAGAAUCGCCCAUCCCAGAGCUUCCAAAGAGGAGAACACGGGUGGGCUUGUAGCAUUGGGCCCAACAUUGGAUGGCCAGUUGGUAGUUGUGAUUUUUGAUGAAAAAUUACUGGUAGCUGCCAGGCCAAUUAACUUGGUAAAUUUUUGAGACUGUGAGAAGUGGCGCAUGACUUCAAUACAUGUCCCCAUUGUUUAUAGCUCCAACACUUAAAUUGGCUUUUCUAGGUAAUCGAAGAGUGGUUAAUAGAUAAUCAUCGCUUGUAAUAAAUACUAAAGCCUGCAACCGUACCGGGCUUCAAAAAAGGUGGGCCUCUUGAUCCAAAGGCCAAUGUAGCCCAUUGACCCUUGUGAGAUUUGAAAUUAGCUGAUGGGUUUCUAGAAGAGCUUAAUCUCUCAAACACCGAACGACAAUGAAAAUUCAAUCUUGAAAAGACUAAUCUGCUGGAGCUGUUGUUGCUAUAAUUCUCAGCAAAUGACUGUUGUUGGAGAUUGUUCUUGUAGCUAGACGUGCCAUUUCCCAGAGGAAUUUUGUUGGCACCCAAGAGAGGUGGAUAAACAGCUUUCACCACAUCAGCAAAAGAAGCUUUAGGCUUCUUGGGACGAACAUUUUCCCAUACAAAAGAAGGACCAAAAUCCUUCUUGGUAAAUUAUAGCGCCUUUGAAACACCGUGUCAUUAUAUAGAAAGAAGGAUAAUUUGAAGAACUCACAGGCAACAGGAAUUAGAUCAGAAGCCAGAAAUCCAACUUGUUUGGAAUGAACUGUGAAUUUGAAGAGUUGAACUUCUAGCUAUUCUACAAAGAAACUUUGGGCCAUCCCACCCAAAAUGGAUUGCAGACAUAUAUUAAUAGAAUCUGCCAUUAACUUGAAUCUGUUGCGAUUGAAAGAUACCAGCAUAAGAAAAUCAUUGCCUGCUGGCUUCCCAUCAGCAUUCACUUGAUUGCUCAGAAGCUCAUGAACUUUGGAGUUGAAGUUCUUACCCAAUUGGAAGUUGAACUUAGAGAAAUCCAUUAACGAGGAUAGGGACUUUCAAGAGGGGGAAGUUCAGGGGAAUCAGGUGCACAAAGUCAAAACAUCAUGGCCUCUUCCAUGCUGGAGGAAGAUUUGUAACAGGGGACUUCACCUGAUUUGGUUGCCAAGGAGGAGCAUUGAUACUAUCACCGACGGCUAGAUGCCAGAGAUGAGCCCAAGGAUGAACUCUUUGUUACCCCCAUGCGCACCAUCCAUUGGUAGAUGGGCUGAAGUUGAUGAAGAGGGAGUAGAAUGAAGAGCAAACUUGGUCGUUGAUUACGACACCAUCGCUGCCACUUUGCUCACGCUCCCCUCAUCGGAGAUAGAUACCUCUCCUUGUCAUGCUCUUCUUCUCCAUUACUCGUUGCAAUCUCGAUAUUUGCUCCUAGGAGUUGUCUGGUUGCAUCAGUGAAGAGAAUCACUUUCAGGGGAGGAGGACGUUGGUGGCUAGCGGCGCCGGAGUGGUCACCGUCAUGAGGCUAUGGACACCGGGACCGGAGUGGUCACCGGCGGUGGGAAGCGAGGGCCUCUCGUUUUCCUUCUCGAAUUGGUUGAAUGAAUACUCAUGUUUAAAAUAAAAACUUCAUCGGCUGUAGUCAAAUAAAAAUCCACCCACAAUCUCAUCCACCUAGAGAUUUUCGUUGUAGAGUUUCAUCCCUUGCAGCCUGCAUGCCAUAUUGGAAUUGAAUAGGGCAAUGUGUGAACAUGCAAAUUAUCAUGUAAAAUGAAAAAUUACAUAUAUAAAUAGUCAUAAGCACUUGUAAUACAGGAAGCUUAGAGUUCCCAAUGCUACAGAGAGUUUGCAUGCACAGUCAAAGAUGACCUAGUAAUGCAGGAUUCCUAUCAUGAGUUGAUCCCAGUUGAGGUAGUACUGAAAAUUAAACUGUUAAAAUGCCACUGAGGUGGUGCUUUGGUACUAGUAGUCGAUCUCAGUUGGAUGUACUAGGUUCUCUGACCGUGGCGUUUGUUGCUCUAGAUAUUCAAGCAAUUUGGUGCUGUAAAACCGAAACUGAAAACUUCGUGACCAAACAAUAUUUGUCAAUCGAUUAGCAGCAGCGUUAUCGUCCAAAUAAAAUGUUUGUGACGAUAGCUUACAACAAUAAUGCCCUAAAUGAUUUUUGAUUCUUUGUUGAACGUACCAAAUCCUCUUUAAUUUCUGUGGCGAUUACUGUUGUUCGUCAUAGACUUGUAUCUAACGAAACUGUCCUAUCCCUUUACACUUGUAAUGACAAAAUCACUUGAAUCAUCACAAAACAUCACAUAUUUUGUGACAUGUAGAGUUUGUCACGAUCAUAUUUUGCGACUUGUUGUGCGAAAAUCAAAGUACGAGUGACUUUGCGUGUCAACUUUUUGCAUGUUUUGCCUCGAUGUUCCGGCUGUGUAGAGCUGCACCAAUUUUUUGUUGCAGAUAGAUACACCAAGGCAUGGGCCGGAGGCCUACCUAAAUGUGCAAACAGGGCCGAAAAGAAAAUGGGCCGCAUCAAAUUAAUGAGACUCAUUAAUGUUGCGUAUCUGUGGAGAUUUUACAUUUUAGGGAGAGCGAUAUCCUGUGUGGCGCCGAAACGAGCCAGCUUUGAAGCCGCGCGCUCCUCCCUCCCUCCCUCACGUUUCGCUCAUUCCCCUCGCUGCCAGCCUCGCACAGCGCAAGCCGCCGCCUGAACCCUCGUCCCGUUCGCACUCCAAAUCCUAGCCACCGAGCGCCAUGGAUCAGGACCACACGCCGCCGCCGCCGCCGCAGCCGCACACCAGCUCCAACCCCGCCGCCGCUACCCUAGGUCCGUUCGCCGCUCCGUCCUCCGCGAGCUCGCCGGUCCGCGGGCCGACGUCCUCCGCGAUGCUUCUUGGCCUGUCGUCGCCGGCGCACUCCCAUCUCCGCUUCUCGCCCUCUCUCUACCCGCCGCCGGCGCGGCCGCUGUCCGGCCGCCUCGCCUCGGGCUCCGGCUCCAGCUCGGGUUCCCCGUCGCGCUUCCGGCAGGAGAUCCCGCCGUCUCCGAAGGUGGCGCGGGGUGGGCGCCAGCGGAGCACCCACGCGCUGCCCUCGCCCUCGCCCGUACUCUCCAAGCUCGCCUCGAUCCGCAGGGUGGGCGCGGCGCGAGAGAGGAGCCAGCAGCGCAGCGAGAUGCGGGUGGCGACGCUCUAUGGCGGCCGGCCGCUGCAGCAGGCGUGGCCGUCGUGGUCGGCCAUGUACGCCCGCUCCCGCCUUGGAACACCUCCACCGAGCAGGAGCUUCUCCGGUUUCGCGCGGCCGGUGUCGCGGCAACUGCAGCCGCCGCCGUCUACCGGUACGCUGCCGCCUCAGCCCAGCCGUCAAUUCUCAUUCCCCGGGUUCGCGACGUCUGCGUCGCAGCAGGCGCAGCCGUCGUCCAAAGGUGUGCCGCCGCCGCCCGGCGGGAUCGUGUCCGGUGCGUUCUCGUCGCCGGCAAUGCAGCAACAGCAGUCCAAGUCUUCGUUCACGGAUCUGGCGCCGCUGCCCGGUGGCAGUGCGAUCUUGUCCGGCACGUUCUCGUCGCCGGCAAUGCACCAACAGCAGACGAAGUCUUCGUUUACGGAUCUGGCGCCGCUGCCCAGUGGCAGUGGGAUCUUCUCCGGGUUCGCGCCGCCGGCAUCGCAGCAGCCGGAGGCUAUGUCUUCGUUCUCCGAUCUGGCCGCGACGCAGCCGGCGUUCCAGGGCAGCCAGCCGCUGCAGCAGGCGUUGCCCACCAUGGCCCGCGUUGGUUCACCUCCACCGACCGGGAGCUUCUCCGGGUUCGCGCCGCCUGCGUCGCAGCAACUGCAGCCGUCGUCUUCUGGUGUGCCGCUGCUGCCGGGCGGGACCUUCUCGGGGUUCCCAUCGCCGGCAAUGCCGAAACCGCAGGCCAACUCUUCGUUCACCGAUCUGCCGCCGCUGCCCAGUGGCAGUGGGUUUGCGCUGGCGGCGUCGCAGCAGCUGCAGGCGAAGUCUUCGUUCACCAGUCUGGCGCCACUGCCAGGCGGGAGCUUCUCCGGGCUCACGCCACGGCACGGCGAGGCCUCCAUGUUCGGGUCCUCUUCGUUGUCGUCGUCGGCUCAGCUGGCGGCGCCUGCUAGCGACACCAUGUACGGGCAGGGGCAGCCGGCAUCAGACUCGGAGCUGCCUCCAUUGCCGCCGAGUCUGCAAAUCCGAUCGGACGAGGUAAUGCAGUUCUCGCAGCCGUCAGGGAAUGACAGCACCUUCUCUGAAUAUGAAGCGACGAGAAUGCAUAGACCGCCUGUGUUUCAGGUAAAGAAAGAGCCCGUUGAUAUUGAUACCCCAUGCCUGCUUCAGCCAGAGCUUAUUUCAGUUGACGACGACGACGACGACGAGGACGACGAGAUCAGUGCUCUCCUGCGCUCGUUCCAGUCACCAAAUGAACCGGCGAGCCUCUGCCUUGAGCCCACCUCCACAGCAGACAUGCUACAGCUAGGCGGCGGUGGCGGUAGCAGCAGCGGCCCGAGUGCUCUAGGCGCAGUCGAGGGCAGUGGCCAAUCCUGGAAGGCCAUGGUGACACCAUACGACAAUGUGACCACCAGUGCCAGCAUUCCCUGGAACUGUAGUGACGGUUCUAUCUCCAUGUCACAGCAGCAAAUAUCACAGCAGGGAGAUGUGUUCUCCACGGGUUUCUCUGAUAACAUCUUGUCCGGGUUUGGCCAGCAGCUCCAGCCAAACCUACAAAUGCCAAUGAUGCUCUCUGCCACAGACUUGCUACAGCUGAUCAGCAGGCCUGGCCCUAGCAUCUGGAGCACUGCUGACAGCAGUGGACAAGACGCGCCGGGGAUGCCUGCCGCAUCGGCGAGCAUGUUCGACCAGAUGAGCAUUGGUGGAGGGACCAUGUACAUUGGCCAAGGCUGGCCGGAGACGGCAGUAGCAACUGACCAAUACGGUAGGUUCGACAAUAGUGGGAGCAGCAGCAGUGCCUGGGCGGCGGUGCCUGAUGAGAUGGCCAGCAAGUUCGACCAGAUGAGCAUUGGUGAAGGAAGCUUGAGCAUUGGCCAAGGCUGGCCGGCGACACCAGCACCUACGUUUGACAUCACUGGCAGCAGCAGCAGUAGCAGUGCCUGGGCAAGCAUGCCCUGGAACUCUAGCAGCUGGACCAUGGAAAAUUAUUCAACCCCAGGGCCAAAGCUGGGACUUGGCGCCAUGGAGCAACCAAGGUGGACGAUACCACGCCCACCAUCUGUUGCAGCUGGUGCUAGCCGCAGCAUGUCGCAGAGGGGAGCCCAUGGGGACUACUUCUCAGCUGCUGAGAUCGAGACGAUCAUUAAAGAUAAGCGCCUUAAGGAGAUAGUGAACACAGACCCUAAGAGGGUUAAGAGGUAUGUAUCUAUUCGUAGAUUCCAUCUUCAGUAUAUUCAUGUGUAAUGUGGUAAUAUAUUACAGUGGUUAUAAUUAACCAUGCUUUAGUACUGCAACUAAUCAUUUUUCUCUUUUCCAAUUCUUGUAUAAAAUUGCAGGAUUCUGAAUAACCGGACCAGCGUCGCAAAAUUAAGACCACAGAGACGUGCUGAAUAGCUGAGUUGCUUGCAUUGGCUCUCUAGCUACAUAUCAAGCUACAUGUCUCGCAUUGGCCCCAACCAAAGGCUUCUUUAUAGGUCUUCCCAAUUACUAUCUAGCAGCUAGCAUAACUGCAUGUUAAGUUUAGGAUUAGCUUGGCUGUUUAGCAUAACUUGUUUGUUCAUCUGUCCAAUGUGGUUGACAUAUUUUAUUUAUUAGUAGUUUGGACCAGAUUCUAUUUCCUGUUCUUGUGUGGUCUGAAACAAAUGUAAUGAUGCAAUGUUCUUGCAGGGAUUUUUCUUUUUAAAAUAUUCAAACGAAAUAUCUUCCCAGAAGUCAUCACGUUUAUUACCGGCCCUCAGAUCCAUGCGUGUGUCUUGUGUACUACGUCUCCGGAGCCACUUUCUGAAACAAAAGUCGCUCAGGUCUAAGCUACCACAUUAUUUCUUGGUCACUCAUUGUUGGUCCAAUCUCCUAUGGAAAGAAAGCUUAUGGAUCCUACGCAAUUAUCCUUUUUGUUCUUUCUAAUGGUAUACUGCAAUGUCCUCAAAGGUUUACAUAUAGUUAUAAUAAAGACAGUUCUUUCAAGAUAACAAGAAGCUAUAUAAUCCUCCAGGGCUCGCGUGUAUUCUUUUUAUAUGGGUUGAACCGAAUGCAACCUAAUCCGGUCUCCUACCAGGACGAGAGUCCUGUUUGCUCUCAAACACACCCUAUUGACCAAAACUCCUCGUUUUGGCAUCGUUCAUGAACUUGACAAGUUUCUGUCCGGAUAGGAUUUUUGUGAAGCUAUCAGGCAAGUUAUCGGCUAAAGAAAUUCAGCGAAUGUUUAAUACUUUUCAGCAACCCGUUCUUGACAAAAUGAUAAUUGGACUCAAUGUGUGUUUCGUUCAAACAUGGAACACUGGAUUUUCUGACAAGUAUGUUGCUCCUAUAUUGUCACUCCACAAAAUAGCUGCUCCCGGCUGUGGACUCCUAGUUCUUUUGAAAGUGCAGUGUUUGAAUCCAAAUCACUUCGGCAGUUGAAUUGCUUCAGUAUUGGACGGAGAUAUUAUUGCUUAGGAGCCCUCCAAGAUCUGCGGGCACGGGCCAUGUACUUUUUGUGGUACUGGAACGCUUGGAGGCAAUGCCGACGGCAGAAGAGUUCAAGGCCAAUUUUGCUGUUAUCACUACCGGAAACCGAGCUAAUUGUUUUUCCAUUUGGCGAGUGCAAACUGUCGCGCACUUGGCAAAAUGCAUAUUUGCCGAGUGUAUCAAAAUAAACACUUGGCAUUAAAAAACACUCGGCAAAACACACAUUUGCCGAGUGCAAAAAAAAACCACUCGGCAACUCGACUAUUACACUCGGCAAAACGCCAUACUCGGCAAAGCUAUAUCACGUGACAAGCACGCGCAGCCGCCGUUACGCUGCGGGGCCGCCGUUUGUACUUUGCCGAGUGCCCGUUAGCGGCACUCGGCGAACCGUUGCUUUGCUGUUAUAUAUGUUGACAGCGGUGGCUGAAGUAUGUCUAGGUUGAUGGCACACGGUAUGGAGGAUUAGUCUGCCGAAGUUUAGGGGCAUGUACUGUAGCUUGAGGCACCUUGUCUGCAGGAGGAGGUGGUGGGGCAAGUGGAAGCUGGGUGCUUUCAGGCACCGUUAUGACUUGUGGCAGCGUUGGCAGUGACUGUGGAUGUGGCCGGCUGAUCUUGUUUAGGUUCAGCCGUUCACUAGUAGAGAACUGAUCUUCCAUCCACCCCUUUUGUCCCAGUUAACAUUAGGCCUGUGAUUAAAAGUGGCGUGCCAUCGAAGGUCAGCGCGGGGGAGCUUUAGUUCUGGUUGUAAAUACCAACUGGAACUAAAGUCUCCCCCUUAGUCCCGGUUGUAACAGUCGAAAAAUUUGCACCAACACUGCCCCUUUUCCCGGUUAGAGUUACCAACUGCGACAAAAGAUUUAGUCCCGAUUGGUAAUCCAACCGGGAUAAAAGGGGUUGUAUUUUGUCCCGGUUGGAAUUUCCAACUGGGACAAAAUCUCCUCCCUAUAAAAUCGCUAGACAGAGAGCUCUUCUUCCUCCUCCAGCCCGAGCCACUCCACUCCACCGGCCUUCUCUCCUUGGCGACGAAGCAACUCUAGGGAAGGUGCUGCCUGAAGCCAUAGCAGCACCAUAUGCUGCAGGAGAUGUUGCUGUAUGACAAUGUUAAACUUGGUCAUACAGAUAUAUAACAUGCUGAUGUUGCUAAGAGAUCAAGUUAUCUAGGGCAGGUCUUGUUUCUCUAGCUAUAUCUACAGGUCUUGGCAUCACAUAAAGGAUGCUUGCUGACUGGUAGCCAGUGGUGGUAGCGGUAGCUAGCAUUCACUUGAACUCUCACGAUUCUACGUCCAUGCAAUGUCACAGCAGCAAAUACCACAGCUGAGCUAUCUGUUCUCCUUAUUGGCCGGUUUCUCGACAUCGCACCUGCACUGGCGGCCAUGACAAAAGAACACCUUCGAUUCUGUGGGUUCAUCCAGGUCCCGCCAAACCUACAAAUGCCACUGCUGCCCCUGCCCUCCUCCACAGACAGGUUACAGUAAACAGCAGCAGCGGCCCGAGCAUGUAGAGCACUGCUAACGAUAGGGCUUCGCGGGGCUGGGGGGGGGGGGGUGGGGUUGGUGGCCCGCUAGAUGAGCAUUGGCAGAGGAUGAUAUGAGCGCCCGCUAGAUGAGCAUUGGUAGAGGAUGCAUGAGCAUGGGCUAAAACUGGCUGGCAAACACUACAAAAAAUCUUCCGAUCUAUGACAAAAAUUUGUGGCGAAUGACAAAAUUUCAUAAAUUUAUAACUUUUUUUGCUAUAAAUGUUAUUAAAUAUUACAUCCGAGUAAAUUUAGUAAUGCAAAAAUUAAACAUCAUAAAAGUUGCCAGUGAAGGCAAAUAGGAAACAUCACUCACUGUUACAUGAUGGUUUUGUAACAAUAUAAGGUCUGCAAAAAUACCAUAAACUGACCAGGAUCCCACAUGCAAGUAUAAGCUGAAAAAAAGGGAGGAAAAAUAAAAGGAAAACAAGCUCCUCCAUAGGUCGAACUAUUACUGUUCCAUUGGGAAGUCUUUAGCACAGCUAGGACCCACAUGUAAGUGUUAGGUAAGUUGGUGGCUUAUGUUUUGGUAGUUGGCGUGAGAAAAAACCUGAGCUGCACUGGAAGCAAAAACAGGUUUUACCCGCUACCGCACUCCUCCAAUAGAGAAAACGAACAAAAACAAGGUGCCUAGGAUCAAGGGAUUAAUCCAGCGCAGAUUUGUGGCUUCCCGCAAAAGCUCAGUCCUGCACGAGCACGAAUUUAUUGCUCCCUACUGUAGCGCGUCAAUCCGGUCAGUAAUGGUGAGUUGAAUUUCCUAAAAUUUCAUUUUUGUAUUAAUGUAUUUUGUUGUAAGGCACUUCCAACCUGCUUGAUUUGAAAGCAUACCAACUAAAUUUGAUAUAUAGAUAGACGUUGGAUACACGGUUGUGCACUAUUUACCCCCGAACAUGAAAACGACCUAUGAUUUCAUAUGAUUUGUUAAGAGUAGAUACUCUGCUGAUGAAUAAUUACUAUGCCCGUAUCGUCGAUGCCUGAAUCGGUUCAGCAAUUAUCAAGGAGAGGUGUGGAUGCACUUAUGAGUGGGAUGGCAAGCACAUACACUAGGUGGAUCAAUUAUGGAGAAACAUUAGUGGGAUGGCAUGCACAUACACUAGGUGGAUCAAUCAUGGAAAAUGCAAAUAUGUAGGAUAAUGGGGUUCAAGAAAAUGCAAUUCUGCAGCAUGAUGUGGUUUGAGGAAAAUGCAAAUAUGUAGGAUGAUGGGGUUCACAAAAUUCAAUUGUGCAGGAUGAUGUGGUUGAUGAUAAUGCAAUUCUGCAGCAAGAUGCGAUUGAAAUGGGUUAAGAAAAUGAACGUAUAGUUCGUUAUUUGAAUUUUCUUGAGAAUGAAGGCCCUGUUGAUAGACUUCCUGGUAUGAUAGCCGACAUGUGCGCCGCUACGAGCUUGGUGUAGAAAACUAUUAAAGUAUAUAAAGAAUCAUUUAAUCCAUUUAAGACGUAAAGCAAUGCUGACGGCAGAAGAGUUCGAGGCCAAUUUCUGCAUCUACAUUUUCUUUGCCAUUGGUUCAAGGGUUUGAUGCAGUGCUCGAUGCAAAGUCACACAUUGCAGGUCCCUCUCCUAUUGUUAUUUGUGCCUGUGAUUUUUUUUCUUACCCUGUUUAUUGGGUGGACUCAUGCUGAUAUGGUCUCUUUUGCUCAUUUUUUUUUUGCAGCUAAUCACUUGGAGCAUAUCAUCAAACUUUCUAGAGUGCCUCAAGUCUUCGGGGAGUUGCUAGUCACUUCACCUACUACAGCAUUGGAUUUUGUCAACUUCGUAGCAAAUUUGAUACAUUGUUGAACUAAUUGGAUGUGCUUUGUAAUUUCCCCUUUUGCUUUCUGCACAAGUUCAUGUAUCAGUUUCACAGACCAUGUCUUACUUGCACAACAUUUGCUGAAACAUUGAACUUGCUGUGAGGAUUGAGCCGUUGAUUGUUGGAUCUGUCAUGGAUGAUAUCUGAAUGCAUGUGACAGUUAUGUGUGUUAAAAUGCCAGGAAAUGCAUUUUUAGAUUAUUGUUUCCAACAAAAAAUGGUUCUUUUUGGGUGUCUGACAUGUAAUAAUGCUCCGAGUGUCCAACACUAGGGAAACAUGAUCCCGAGUGUUCAACACUAGGCAAACAGCUCCCGAGUUUCCAACAAAAAAUUGUUGGAGCCGCUGCCGCGCGCGCCACAGUAGAACCAUAUGAUGCAGGACAUGUUGCUGUAGGAAAAGGUUAAACUUGGUCAUGCAGAUACCAUGGUGAAGGUUCUAAGAGAUCAAGGGCGGUCGGGUCUUGUUUCUCUAGCUGUAUCUACAGGUCUUGGCAGCACACAUAAAGGAUGCUUGCUAACUGGUAGGCAGUGGUGGUAGCGGUAGCAUUCCCUUAAACUCUCACGAGUCACGAUUUUACGUCCAUGUCGUCACAGCAGGCAUGCACCAUAGCUGGGUGAUCUGUUCUCCUUGGAUUUCUUGACUCGCAGCGCACUGGCAGCCAUCAGCCCAUCACACUAUAACACCUUCUCUGGGUUCGUCCAGCUCCAGCCAAACCUACAAGUUGUAGGAUAUUCCAAAGAUCGUAUACACGAUCCUGUGGCAGCUCGACUGGCCGUAUACGUGCAACUCGUCUACACAUAUAUGAACUAGCUGCAACAACUUGAAAUCUCGCUAGAACUUAACUUACACAAGAACCAGGACGAAAAUACUUUGCCCAAAGGUACGUCUUGUCCUUCCUUGCCCAAUGCGUUGAGCACCUUGGUACAUUGUCUUGAUGCACUCCGAUUCCAUACCUCUUUUGAUGUUUCCUUCUCAUAUACCGCCGGCAAAGUCUCCUCCGGUAUACAUGGCAGCGAGCGCCGUCUGAUCCUUCUUAGGAUCAACCUUCUCUUUUGGAACAGCAGGCUCGACAACAUCCCAAACGCAUUGUGCACGCAGAACACCUUCAUCAUGAUUGAACCAGGUUGUGUAGUUGCCCCUCGUGAGCAUCGGAUAGUGCAGCGACACCGGAGAACUCUCUUUCCUGAUGAUCCCGACAUUGCCGCAGCAGUGUUGAUUUGCUGUUUCUGCUACCCUCUGACCGCACACAACCAAGAUCUGAUACCACUUGUAGGAUACUAGUCCAUCAACCCCUGCUUCCGCACGGGUUAAUAUUUUUAGAAGCUAUUGUAUUUGAAAAUUAUUUAGAAAUUAAACUCCUAGCUAAUAAUCAAAAUUGUUUACCUACUACUCUCUUAUUUUUCAAUACUUCAACAUAAUACUUAUAUAGACAUGUACCUAUCUUUGUCCAAAUGUGAUUGAUUUUUAAUUAAUAAUUACUCUAUGCACGUUUUCAUCCAUAUUCGUACUUUUUCCAUUUUGUAUCACACCUCCAAUCCUCCAUACAUUAUAUUUAGCAUAUAAAUCAAUAUUUUUCAUUGAUUCCUCACAUACAUGUAUAAAUGGUCUAAAUGGUGGCACUCAUCAUGUGUAUAUACUUUAACUUAGUAUUUUUAUAUUAAUAAUGACAUAAAUAGGUAAUUUAGAAUCAUGUAUUAGUUUACUUUUUGACAUUUCUAUAUGAUGCACAUGAAGAUAAUUAGAUUAAUAUUUAGAUGUUUACUUUAGGUUAUUUUUAAUAACAACACAAGUGGGUAACAUAGAUAAAAAGUUAUGCUUUAUAAUGAUGUGUAUUAGUAAAUUGGAUGAAGAUUAUGGGUUACUUUAAAUUAUUUUUUAUGAUAGCUGAGCUUGGUAAUUUAGAUAUAGGUUUAGAGCUUAUUUUUGAAUAUUUGUCAAUGAAUAUUUUCACCAUGACAGUGGUGGGUAACUUUUUAGAAAAUAUAAUAGAUCAAUGGCUAUGAUUAUUAGAAUUUAUAGGAUUGGUGUUUGAUAUUUUUAAUUUUUAUGAGCAUCUGUCUCUUUUUUCUAGCUUGUCUCAUGGGAACUAAUGCAGAGUCUCCGAUGAAAAAAAUAAGACUACAUUGCUACAAAAACUAUUACCAUAUGCUACCUCUUGUUUGUUAAAUAUUCGAACACAAUACUAAUACUUAAUAUCUUCAUCCAAUUAUGUUAGAUUUUAGUUAAUAAUUACUCUAUAAUAUUUUCAUCUACAUUUAUAAUCUUUAAAUUUUCACUUUGCAUCGGAGGUAUGCGCUUAAAUUUGUUUAAUGAACCCUAAGUUUGAGAUACAAUUUUAGCAUAGAAAUCUAUAUUCUCAUCGCUUUAUAUCGUUAUAAAUGGUGACACACAUCAUGCAUAUAGACAUAUAAACCUUAAUUAUUAUAUCGUAUACCAAUAGUGAAAGAUAUAGACGAUUUAGAAUCAUAUAUUGAUUGUAUAUUUUUAAUUAAGGUUAUUUGAUUCAAACGUAGGGUUACCUCAUGUUACUUUUAAUAAUGGCAUGUGUAGGCAAUAUAGAUGCAAAUUUAAGGUGUUACUUUAAAAAAGUAAUAGUGGUAGGCAAUUCAGUUGCAAAUUAGGAUGCUAUUUUAAAUAUUGUUUAUAAUGGCAUAAGUGGGUAAUAUGGAUGAAGAUUAGGAGGUUACUUUAGCUUAUUUUAUAUAAUAGCCGAGGUGGGUAAUUUAUAUAUAGAUUUAGGAGGUUACUUUAGGCUAUUUUCAUAAUGGCGUAGGUGGGUAAUUUUUUAGAAAACAUAAUAGAUCCAAUGGCUAUGAUGAUUUGAAUCUAUCGAUUGCUAGUUGGAUGUUUUGCUUUUUUUAAGAAUUUCUAGCAUUUCUCUCUUUUUCUAGAAUAUCUACCUAGGAAUCCUUUCUUAGGUGGCUUCAUCUGGAGGUUUCAAAGGAAAAGAUUCCAAUGAUCAAACACACGGUCCUACGGCAGCUUGACUGGCCGUAUACGUGCAACUCGUCUAGACAUAUACGAACUAGCUGCAACAACUUGAAAUCUCAACCAAAAAAAAAACAACAUGAAAUCUAACUAGAACUUACACAAGAACAAGGACGAAAAUACUUUACCCAAAGGUACGUCUAGUGAUUAAGAACGAUGCAUUGCCUUGCUUAUAUAGCUAGGACUUAACCUUUACAAACCUACUCGGACUCCAACUCAAUGCAAUUUGACACAGACUCAUAAUCCUACUUGGCAUCCUAUCCAAAUCAAAAUAGCUCCAUAUACAGAGUCACAAAGGAUGACUGUUGCAGAAUAGUGUAGUGUGCCUUGUCGAACAAAUCAGUAUCAUUGCUCAAACUUGAUUUCCUUCCAAGGGUGCCCAUUCCCCGCAGUCUCUCCUCGUAGCGUGAAGUUGGAACCCCAAUCGAGUCAAUUGAAUCAAUAAAAUCAACACAAAACUUGAUCAUCUCCUCUGUUUCAUAUCCUUCGGCGAUGCUUCCUUCUGGACGGUUGGUGAUGCUUCCUUCUGGACGGGCAUGAUUAAGAAUAUAGUUUUUUAGGAUUGACAUGAACCUCUCGAAAGGCCACAUAUUGUGCAGGUAUAGAGAUCCGAGAAUACCAAUCUCUUUUACUAGGUGAACCAGGAGGUGCGUCAUAAUAUUGAAGAAGGAUGGUGGAAAUACCAACUCAAAACUGACAAGACAUUGCACCACAUCAUUCUGUAGCUUUGUUAGCUUGGAUGGAUCGAUUGCUUUCUGCGAAAUUGCAUUGACAAACGCGCAUAGCUUUACGAGCGGCAAUCGGAUAUUCUCUGGUAGAACACCCCUCAGUGCAACCGGAAGCAACUGGGUCAUCAACAUGUGGCAGUCAUGGGCCUUGAGAUUUAUGAACUUUUUUUCUUUCAUAUUUAUUAUUCCCUUUAUAUUCGAGGAGUACCCAGAUGGGACCUUCGUACUAUUCAAGCAUUCAAACAUGCUAUCCUUCUUUGCUGAGAGUGUAACUGGUAGGACGUAAGUAGUGCUGUUCGUUAUCUCUCUUUUCCGGAUGUAGGUCAUCUUGUUGCCCCAUGGCUUUCAGGUCCUGUCGUGCUUUCAAUGUAUCUUUUGAGGUCCCAUAAACACCCAUGAAGUCUAGCACAUUCACGCAAAGAUUCUUCGUCAGGUGCAUCACGUCUAUUGCAUUGCGGACCUCUAGGAUUUCCCAAUAAGGUAGCUCCCAAAAUAUUGAUUUUUUCUUCCACAUGGGUGCACGUCUGUUAUCAUCGUUCGGAACAGGUUGGCUACCAAGACCCUUUCCAAAGACUACAUUUACAUCCUUUAUCAUCUCAAAACCACGCUUUCCAUUACGGUGUGCAGGUUUUUUAGAUCGUCUGGUGCCCCUUUGAAAUGCAUCCCACUCUUUCUCGGCUGGUGGUCGAUGAUGACCCAUAUAAAUGACCUUACAGUGCUUUAAAUACAUGUUGUCUGUGUCGUCUAAAUAGAGACAUGUGCAGGCUCGAUAUCCCUUGUUUAUCUGUCCCGAAAGGUUACUCAGUGCAGGCCAAUCAUUGAUGGUUACGAACAACAAUGCUCCUAGAUUAAAGAUCUCUUGUUUAUCCUCAUCCCACACACGUACACCUUCUUCCUUCUAGAGCUGUAAAAGUUCAUCAACCAACGGUUUUAGGUACACGUCAAUGUCGUUGCCGGGUUGUUUUGGGCCUUGGAUAAGCGCCGGCAUCAUAAUGAACUUCCACUUCAUGCACAGUCAAGGAGGAAAGUUGAACAUAUAUAGGGUCACAGGCCAAGUACUAUGGCCACUACUCAACUCGCCAAAUGGAUUGAAUCCAUCAGUACUUAAACCAAAUCUUAUGUUCUUUGCAUCACUUUCAAUGUCCAAGAAUGCUCUAUCAAUUGAUCUCCACUGAGCCCCAUCUGCGGGGUGUCUCAGCAUCUCAUCUCCGCUGCAAGGAUACAUACUAUAUAUGACACAUAUGACAUACUAAUUUUGUCCUCAUAAUUAAUAUUGAAAUUCUCUCAAUUCUACCUCACAUUUACACUCCAAUCUCCCUCACAUUCUAGCUCAAAAUCUUCUCCAUUUUCUAUUUCAUAUUCUAGCAAAUAAACUAUCCAUCUCCAUUCUACACAUCAAGUUGUUUUAACUAAUAUGAAUCGUAUAUAACAAGCAAACUAUCCAUCACAUUCUAGCUCAAAAACAUGUAUAAAUACAAAUCCUCUUCAUUCUCCCUCUUUCUAACAAACAAACUCUAAAUCAAAGCAUAAUAAGAGGAUGAAGUAGCUAACCUUCACAAAACUUUGGAUGAGUGAAAUUCCCAUGGAAAUGAGGGGAAAAAAAAUUUGGGCAGCACCUCCCUUGCUUCGACGCCACUGGAGAGUAGGUGAAGCUCUCUAUCUUUGUGGAGUGGACUGGCUCGGGCUGGAGGAGGAAGAAAAACCUCUGCCUUGGGAUUUAACGGGGGAUGAGUUUUUAUCCCGGUUAAAAACUCCAACCAGGAUAAAAAGAACACCUUUUGUCCUGGUUGAAAUUUACUCCCGGUUGGUAAUUUCAACCAGGAUAAAAGGGCCACCCUUUUAUCCCGGUUGGAGACCUUUAGUCCCGGUUGCAAAUACCAACUGGGAGUAAAGCUUCGCUCCAUUCCAACCUACCAUGGCGCGUUCCCUUUUGUCCCGGGCUAACUUUAAACCGGGAUAAAAAGGGACGUAUGGAAGGUCAGUUCUCUACUGGUGGUCAUAUGGAGAAACCCAGGUUGCCAAAAGGGCCACCAUCUCAUCUAGUAGCUGCUUCUAGAAGGAGCAUGUCGUGGAAGGGCACCACAGGGACUUCUUCUCUGAGGCCGAGAUGGAGACAAUCAAUACGGAUAAGUGCCUCAAGGAGAUCGUGAACAAAGACCUUAAGAGGGUUAAGAGGUAUGUAUCUAUUCGUAGAUUCCAUCUAGUAUUUCAUGUGUAAUUUGGUAAUAUAUUAUUGUGGUUAUGAUUAACCAUUAGUACUGCAACUGAUCAUUUUUGCCUUCUCCAAUUCUUGUAUAAAAUUGCAGGAUUCUGAAUAACUGGGCCAGCGUGGCAAAACUAAGACCACAGAUACGCUUAGUUAUUUGCAAAUGGCUCUCUAGCUAUAUAUCAAGGCAGCUACAUGUCUUGCGUUGGCCCCAACCAUAGGCUUCUUUGUAGGUGUUCCCCAUUAUUAUCUAGCAGCAAGCAUAACUCUGCAUGUUAAGUUUAGAAUUAGCUUGCCUGUUUAGUUUGGAUUGACGUUGACUUGCUUGUUCAUCUGCCAAAUGUGGUUGACAUCUUUAAUUAGCUAGCAGGAGCAUGUCGUGAUGGGGUGCCACAGGGACUUCUUCUCGGAGGCCAAGAUGGAGACAAUCAAUAAGGAUAAGUGCCUCAAGGAGAUCGUGAAAAAAGACCCUAAGAAGGUUAGGUGGUACGCGCGCGCGCGCCCACACACACACACUAUCUAGUCUCUAGUAUUUCACGUGGAAUGUGGUGAUAUACUAUAGGGUUAACCUUUAGUGCCUCAAGUAGUCAUCUUUCCCUUUUCUGAUUCAUAUAAAAUAGCAGGAUUCUGAAUAACCGGGCAAGCGCAGCAAAAUUAAGGGCACGAAGACAUGCCGAAUUUCUUGAUCUAAGCAGAAUUGUUUGCGUUUUCAAACUACUUUUAUAUCAAGCUAUAGGCCUUGCAUCGGCCGCACCUAAAGGCCUCUUAUAUAGGCAAUCCGUAUUAUUAUCCAUGUUAAGCAAAGGAUUAGCUUGUCUAUUUCGUAUGGGUUGAUAUUGACAUGCUUUAUUCCUCUGCCGAAUGUCAUCAUUAUCUUUAAUUUCAUAGUUGUGUAGGACCAGAAUUUGUCUCCCACUCUUGCGAUGGUCUCAAACUAAUGAUUACGCAAUGCUUAAUUAUAUAUGGGAUGUCAAAGAAAAUAACCGAACAAAAUAUCUUUCUGAAUACAUCAGGAUUGCCAGCCAUGACUCAUGUGCUAGAUUGGGAACCAUGCUCUGAAACAACAGAGACUCGGAGAUGCCCUACAUCUUUAGCAGCUCAUCUAUUGGAAAAACUCCACCCCAGUGCCAAAGCAGAGACUCGUGGUCAUGGAGAAACCAAGGUUGCCACGAUGGCCACCAUAACUAGCAGCUACUUCUAGCAGGUGCAUGUUGUGAAGGUGCGCCAUAGGGAGUUCUUCUCUAAGGCUAAGAUUGUGACAAUGAAUAAUGAUAAGUGCGUCAAGGAGACUGUAAACGAGGACCCUAAGAAGGUUAAGUGGUAUGCACACACGGAAAAUCACACAUGGAUUAUUUAGUCUCUAGUAUUUCUUGUGGAAUGUGGUGACAUACUAUAAUGGUCAACCUUUAGUGCCUCAACUGAUCAUCUUUCCCUUUCCUGAUUCUUGUAUAAAUUUGCAGGAUUCUGAAUAACCGUGCAAGGAUGGAAAAAUUAAGGGCCCCGAGACAUGAUGAAUGUCUGGAUCUAACAAGCCGACUUAUUUGUGUUGUGUCUCCAGCUAUAUAUCAAGCUACAAGCCUUUUAUUUGCGCACCUAAAGGCUAAUUGUACAGGUCGUCCAUAUUAUUAUCCAUGUUAAGCUUAGGAUUAGCAUGUUUGUUUGGUAUGGGUUGACGUUGAGUUGCUAUGUUCAUCCACCGAAUCUCGUCGUUUUCUUUAGUAUACCAGUAGGGUAUAGGACCAGAAUUUGUCGCCUACUCUUGCGGUAGUCUCAAACACAUUAUGAUGCAUAGUUUUAUUAUAUAAGGGAUUUUGAUGAAAAUAACCAAACAAAAUAUUUUUCCGAAGUCAUCAUGAUUGGCAGUCGUGCUAGGUUUGGAGCCACUCUCUGAAACAACACAGAGGCUCGAGGAUGCCCUAGAACUUUAGCAGCUCAUAUAUGGAAAACUCCGCUCACUACCAAAGCUGAGACUCGAAUUCAUGCAGAAACCCUAGUCACCACAACGGUCACCAUUCUUGCAGCUCGUGCUAGAAGGAGCAUGUCGUGGAGGGUGCCAUAGGGAUAUCUUCUCUAAGGCCAAGAUGGUGACAAUCAACAAGGAUAAUUGCCUUAAGGAGAUCAUAAACAUAGACCCUAAGAAGGUUAAGUGGUAUGCUGUUUCUAGAGGGCACCAAUAAUCGAAAGAGUAUUUGUGCCGGCUCUAUUUUGAGCCGGCACGAAUCAUUCAUUUUUCGUGCUAGCUCAUAAUUGCAUCGGCACGAAUAGGAGAGCCAACAUGGACAAUCCGUUAGUUAUGCCAGCUCGUUUUUGAUCUAACACGGAUGACUUAUUUGUGCCAAUUUGUUUAUGGUCAGCACGGAUGAGCUGAUACGGAUGAUGACUUCUCUAGUAGUGUUUGUGAAGAAGAAAAAAGUGUACCUUAGUUGAACAAAGGUACUGGGGUGAUGCUUUGUGGCUUAGUUCCUGGUGAUAUAUGCAAGGCAGUAUAUUUUCCAAGUGUUCACUUUGGGGUGAUCACUUUGCUUCCUAAAGGAGCCGAACCAAAGCAUCCAUGCGACUAUAGGCCUAUAAGCCUGAUCCAUAGCUUUGCAAAACUCAUUGCAAAGUUACUGGCCAAUCGCCUUGCACCUGAGCUAGAGCGCCUCAUCGACAUUAACCAAAGUGCUUUCAUACAAAAGCGGUCCAUUCACGACAAUUUUAAAUUUGUGGAGCAAGCAGCUAAAACCCUGCACCGCAAGAAAAAACCAACACUGCUAAUCAAGCUUGACAUAUCAAAGGCGUUCGACACGGUCAGCUGGGCAUUCCUCCUCCAAAUUCUGCAAGCUGUGGGCUUCAGGACCAAAUGGUGUGACUGGAUAGCUUCACUAGUCUCCACUGCCUCGACCAGAGUUCUGUUGAAUGGAAGCCCAGGACGUCUCAUAAAGAAUCCAAGAGGAUUAAGGUAGGGAGACCCUUUGUCUCUAAUGCUCUUCAUCAUCGUGAUGGAAGUGCUUCAACGACUGAUCAAGCAGGCAGCUCUUGCAGGGGUCCUAACUGCACCGGCAGACACGGCCAUACAUCAUCAGUGUUCGCUUUACGCUGACGACAUGGUGCUCUUUGCUGUGCCUGUUGUCCAAGACAUGAUCACUAUUAGAGAAAUCCUCAAGUUCUUCGGAAACGCUUCAGGCCUCAAUACUAAUUUGAACAAAAGUCAGAUAGCCCCCAUUGCUUGCUCUGACGCACAACUGCAACAAAUCAGCACCACUAUGCCAGCUAGAGUUACUGAGUUUCCAAUUCAGUACUUGGGAUUACCGCUGACAGUGGGAUGGCUCAAGAAAUCACAUUUGCAGCCACUAGUAAGUGGAUCAAGUUGCAAACUGCAUGCCAACAUGGAAGGCAAGUCUCAUGAACAAAGCUGGCCGUUUGACUAUGGUGAAGGCAGUAAUGAGCUCCUCAUGCACACAUACACUAAUCUCUCUGAAAGUCCCAGAUUGGGUGUUCCAUGAGAUUGACAAACGCCAACG